CCCCUUUUCGGGAGCGAUCAAAGCGCCUAUAUCGAUCGUGCCGGGUUCGCCCGGCUAUGGCGAUAAAUCGCGGCGUACAAUAGGCACAGCGGACCCGGGGGCAGUACCCGGCGGCUCCACCACCGGAGCUGAGCCGCUCGGCGGCACGCUACAUGCGUGUCGACGAUCGGUUCAGCGGCGCUGAUGGGGCCGAACCAGGAUCGACGUGUGUUGAAAAGCGCCAUGUUUUGCUCGGAAUGGGACCACCGUGACGGCCCAUUACACAAGUGCCAACGAUAACGAAGCACUCGCGAUUGCAGCGUAACUAAGGGCCUAACGGCCUGAAGUUAUUCUUACAAAAGCGCGGUUGGGCCGCACCGGGCAACAGAAGCGGAUUCCAGCGGUACGGGGAGCACCGGGCAACAGAAGCUCCCCACU
rnacentral:tmRNA from 1 species